GUGGACGAUGGGGGCUUCUUGCUGAAACGGGAGGUCCCAGGAGGGCGCAGAUGGGCCCCGGAGAAGGUUCCGGAGCCUGACCAAGCAGAGCAUCUUUGUCCCCAGACAGCCUGGGGCUUCAGGAAUGCUACCCUCUCCUCUGAGCCCCCUGCCACCUGUUUCCUGAGGCUGCCGCCCGAAGGGGCGGUGCCUCACACCCUCCGCCGGAGGUCAGGCGGCCACCCGGUGUCGGGUAAGGAAAAUCUUCCCGGGUGUUUGCUUUCUCGUUUCCUUCCUGCCUCGAUUUCCUGAAUCGCAUCCUUUGGAGCACUGUGGAGUGGGGCCCUACGUCUGGAUCCUCCCGAUGGUGUGAGCCCAAUUCCUUGCUGUCAGGGGUCUAGCAGCUAUUCAGUCCCGGAUUGCGGAUGGGCCUGGAGAAGACGGAAGAAGUCUAGGGGGCUGUUUAUUCAUUUGCCCGUCCACACUGUGAUGGACUUGAAGGUGGAUUUGGGGCUGUGAAAUCCACAACACCCAGAUCGGAAGAAAGGAGCCUGGGCAGGGAGGUGGAGGUGGCAGGGUCCAGGAGGGGGAAGGCCAGAACUCCGGGAGCAGCGCCGACUCUGGCCAUGUGGAGAGGGGUGCGCUCAGGCCACCCAGCCAUCUGCGCUGGUGAGCAGUCCUUCCUAGCGGCCGGCGGCGGCCCUCCGCGCCACACUGGUUGCGGUGCUGAACCUCCAGCUGCACUCCUGGCCCUAUUCUGAGUGGGGACGCCCACCUCUCGCCACCAGGGGCUCACGUUGGCCCCCAGGCCACGGCGGUGAUGAACACUAAUGGACGGUUAAGGGCGGGCAGAGCUGAAGGGACACGAUGACCCCGCUGGACCACACAUCUGGGGCCGCGGGUCGGGGGCUCAGGGCACCAGGUUCCUGGGAGGCCCCUCCUCACCUGACCCUUCCCGCAGCUGAGGGCUGCCCGGCGGUUCCUGGAAGUCGCAGUCUGUACGUGGUACCCCGUCUACGCUUUCUGGAGACCAGACAACCACUCAGGUGGCUGCACCCACUCACGGAAACCCAGCUUAUUUACUGUU